UGCUGAGGAGAUGCAAAGAGUGGUGAAGAUGCUCCCCCUGAAGUCACCCUGUGCUCAUUGGUAACCAGACUCCCAUGGACUAGCCGGCUAUGGGGGCUCUACAUGGCCAGAAACGUUCCAUGCUGCUGACCCCGAAAUAUGUUCGUGUGUAUAAAUAGCUUUGCUGUUCCAAAUAAAGUAAGUUUGUGUUUUCCACCUCAA